GUGCCAGCCGCCGCGGUAAUACCGGCAGCCCGAGUGAUGGCCGAUCUUAUUGGGCCUAAAGCGUCCGUAGCUGGCUGCGCAAGUCCGUCGGGAAAUCCACUCGCCCAACGAGUGGGCGUCCGGCGGAAACUGCACAGCUUGGGACCGGAAGGCUCGAAGGGUACGUCCGGGGUAGGAGUGAAAUCCCGUAAUCCUGGACGGACCACCGACGGCGAAAGCACCUUGGAAGGACGGAUCCGACAGUGAGGGAUGAAAGCUAGGGUCUCGAACCGGAUUAGAUACCCCAGUAGUCC
rnacentral:rRNA from 1 species